GGACAGGUGGCCGAGUGGUUGAAGGCGACAGUCUCGAAAACUGUUAUACCCUUUGGGUAUCGUGGGUUCGAAUCCCACCCUGUCCGCCA
rnacentral:tRNA from 1 species